AGUGAACGCUGGCGAUAGGCCUAACACAUGCAAGUCGAACGGCAGCACAGUAAGAGCUUGCUAUUACGGGUGGCGAGUGGCGGGCGGGUGAGGAAUACAUCGGAAUCUACUUUUUCGUGGGGGAUAACGUAGGGAAACUUACGCUAAUACCGCAUACGACCUACGGGUGAAAGCAGGGGAUCUUCGGACCUUGCGCGAUUGAAUGAGCCGAUGUCGGAUUAGCUAGUUGGCGGGGUAAAGGCCCACCAAGGCGGCGAUCCGUAGCUGGUCUGAGAGGAUGAACAGCCACACUGGAACUGAGACACGGUACAGGCUCCUACGGGAGGCAGCAGUUGGGAAUAUUGGACAAUAGGCGCAAGCCUGAUCCAGCCAUACCGCGUGGGUGAAGAAGGCCUUCUGGUUGUAAAGCCCUUUUGUUGGGAAAGAAAAGCAGCAGGUUAAUACCCCGCUGUUCUGACGGUACCCAAAGAAUAAGCACCGGCUAACUUCGUG
rnacentral:rRNA from 1 species